rnacentral:rRNA from 1 species
AUGAACGCUGGCGGCGUGCUUAACACCUGCAAGUCGAACGAAGCACUUUAUUUGAUUUCCUUCGGGACUGAUUAUUUUGUGACUGAGUGGCGGACGGGUGAGUAACGCGUGGGUAACCUGCCUUGUACAGGGGGAUAACAGUUGGAAACGGCUGCUAAUACCGCAUAAGCGCACGGCAUCGCAUAAUGCAGUGUGAAAAACUCCGGUGGUAUAAGAUGGACCCGCGUUGGAUUAGCUAGUUGGUGAGGUAACGGCCCACCAAGGCGACGAUCCAUAGCCGACCAGAGAGGGUGACCGGCCACAUUGGGACUGAGCCACGGCCCAAACUCCUACGGGAGGCAGCAGUGGGGAAUAUUGCACAAUGGGCGAAAGCCUGAUGCAGCGACGCCGCGUGAGCGAAGAAGUAUUUCGGUAUGUAAAGCUCUAUCAGCAGGGAAGAUAAUGACGGUACCUGACUAAGAAGCACCGGCUAAAUACGUG